rnacentral:hammerhead_ribozyme from 1 species
GUACUUCUGAAAAGUCCCAAACUAGGACGAAACAUGUGUUAAGUAC